AUUGAACGCUGGCGGCAUGCUUUACACAUGCGAGUCGAGCGGCAGCGCGGGGGCAACCCUGGCGGCGAGCGGCGAACGGGUGAGUAAUGCAUCGGAGCGUAUCCUCGAGUGGGGGAUAACCCAGCGAAAGUUGGGCUAAUACCGCAUGAGCUCUGAGGAGGAAAGCGGGGGACCUGCGAGGGCCUCGCGCUGGAGGAGCGGCCGAUGUCCGAUUAGCUAGUUGGUGGGGUAAAGGCUUACCAAGGCGACGAUCGGUAGCUGGUCUGAGAGGAUGAUCAGCCACACUGGGACUGAGACACGGCCCAGACUCCUACGGGAGGCAGCAGUGGGGAAUUUUGGACAAUGGGGGCAACCCUGAUCCAGCCAUGCCGCGUGAGUGAAGAAGGCCUUCGGGUUGUAAAGCUCUUUCGGACGGAACGAAAUGGGCGGGACUAAUACUCCUGUCUGAUGACGGUACCGUAAGAAGAAGCACCGGCUAACUACGUG
rnacentral:rRNA from 1 species